rnacentral:rRNA from 1 species
AACGAACGCUGGCGGCAGGCUUAACACAUGCAAGUCGAACGCCCCGCAAGGGGAGUGGCAGACGGGUGAGUAACGCGUGGGAAUCUACCCAUCUCUGCGGAAUAGCUCCGGGAAACUGGAAUUAAUACCGCAUACGCCCUACGGGGGAAAGAUUUAUCGGGGAUGGAUGAGCCCGCGUUGGAUUAGCUAGUUGGUGGGGUAAAGGCCUACCAAGGCGACGAUCCAUAGCUGGUCUGAGAGGAUGAUCAGCCACAUUGGGACUGAGACACGGCCCAAACUCCUACGGGAGGCAGCAGUGGGGAAUAUUGGACAAUGGGCGCAAGCCUGAUCCAGCCAUGCCGCGUGAGUGAUGAAGGCCUUAGGGUUGUAAAGCUCUUUCACCGAUGAAGAUAAUGACGGUAGUCGGAGAAGAAGCCCCGGCUAACUUCGUGCCAGCAGCCGCCGUAAUAC